rnacentral:rRNA from 1 species
UACCAGCUCUUCGAGUGGUGUGGAUGUUUAUUGGGCCUAAAGCAUCCGUAGCUGGCUGGGCAAGUCCCCUGUUAAAUCCACCGAUUCAAUCGUUGGAGUGCGGGGGAUACUGCUCGGCUAGGGGACGGGAGAGGCAGACGGUAUUUUCGGGGUAGGGGUGAAAUCCUAUAAUCCCGGGAAGACCACCAGUGGCGAAGGCUGUCUGCUAGAACGUGCCCGACGGUGAGGGAUGAAAGCUGGGGGAGCGAACCGGAUUAGAUACCCGGGUAGUCCCAGCUGUAAACGAUGCAGGCUAGGUGUUUGGACGGCCACGUGCCGUUCUAGUGCCGCAGGGAAGCCGUUAAGCCUGCCGCCUGGGGAGUACGGCCGCAAGGCUGAAACCUAAGGAAUUGGCGGGGAGCACCACAAGGGGUGAAGCUUGCGGUUU